rnacentral:rRNA from 1 species
UUGCGGUUAAAAAGCUCGUAGUUGGAUUUCUGUCGAAGACGGUCGGUCCGCUCUAUGAGCGUGUAUCUGAUUCGGCUUUGGCAUCCUCGUGGGGAACGUAACUGUGCUUGAUUGCAUGGUGCGGAAUUCACGACUUUUACUUUGAGGAAAUUAGAGUGUUCACGGCAGGCAAGCGCCUUGAAUACAUUAGCAUGGAAUAAUAAUAUAGGACUUUGGUUCUAUUUUGUUGGUUUCUAGGACUAAAGUAAUGAUUAGUAGGGAUAAUUGGGGGCAUUUGUAUUAACGCGUCAGAGGUGGAAUUCUUGGAUUGCGUUACGACAAACUACUGCGAAAGCAUUUGCCAAGGAUGUUUUCAUUGAUCAAGAACGAAAGUAUGGGGAUCGAAGAUGAUUAGAUACCGUCGUAGUCUAUACCAUAAACUAUGCCGACUAGAGAUUGGAGGUCGUUCUUUUUAUGACUCCUUCAGCACCUUAUGAGAAAUCAAAGUCUUUGGGUUCCGGGGGGGAGUAUGGUCGC